AGCGAGCUGAUGCUUUUGCUGGCUAAUAAUAUUGUGCUCAGGGUGGUUUUUAGUAUGAAGGGCAAUGGUUAUGGUGAAGAGAACGCGAAGAGUGAGUUUGAUGAAAUACUUCAUGAAACGCAACAUUUGUUAGGCAUGGUGAAUAUAGCAGACUAUUUUCCCUGGAUGGGUUGGCUUAACAAGUUUAACGGUGUUGAAGCAAGAUUAAACAAGAAUUUUAGAGAUCUGGACAGGUUUUAUGACAGGGCAAUCCAGGAGCACCGUGAAUGCCCACACAGGCCCGGACCUGAAGAGCAUGAAGAUCUUGUUGAUGUAUUGCUCCGAAUUCAGGCUGAUCCAAAUCAAGAUAUUGGACUCACUGAUGACCAGAUGAAAGCUAUAUUGACGGUAAUUUUCCUUGCUCAUCUGAAUCAGUUUUUAAAUAUUUGUAAAUGAAAUGAACGGUGAAUGAUCCUGAAAUGACUCAUACUAUCUCUGCCUUUAAAUCAAGUUUGUAGCUUCUUAAAUUUUUUUAGAACUUCAGGGAAUUCCAACAUCUCUUAAAACUUUUCAUGUUUUCUUCAAACAACAAAUUAAGUUUUAAAGUGUUUAUAAAUGAUUUACGGUUGGACUUUACAAUACAGGACAUGUUUGUAGCUGGAACAGACACUUCUUCAGCAACAUUAGUAUGGAUAAUGACACAACUCAUCAAAAAUCCAUCAGUAAUGAGUAAAGCACAAGAAGAAGUAAGGCGUGUAGUCCAGGGAAAAGGGACGGUAGAAGAAAGCGAUCUUCCAAAACUUGACUACUUAAAGAUGAUUAUAAAAGAGACAUUUAGACUUCACUUGCCAGUCCCAUUACUAAUCCCACGAGAAACUACAGAAACACGCACUGUUGGAGGCUAUGAAAUUCCAGCCAAAACAAGGGUGUUUAUUAAUGCUACUGCAAUAUCUAUGGAUCUCCAAGUGUGGGAAGACCCGGAAGAGUUUAAACCAGAGAGAUUCUUGAAUAGUUCCAUUGAUUUCAGAGGCCAACACUUUGAGUUAUUACCAUUUGGGGCAGGCCGGAGGGGUUGUCCAGGAACCAAUUUCGGGGUGCUAAUAAUAGAGCUUGCGCUUGCUAAUCUGUUGUUUAGCUUUAACUGGAGACUGCCUGAUGGAAUGAAGGCUGAAGAUAUUGAUAUGGAAGAGGCUAUCGGCAUUACUGUCCAUAAGAAGACUCCUCUUUGCCUUGUUGCUUCGCCGUAUGUGUAUAUAGUUAAUUAGUUCUUACACCGAGAGGAGAGGCUUAGCAUUUGAUGCUGCUGUCAAAUUAUGAUUGCAUGAUCUACUAGCCACCCAAGGUUAAAAUCGAGAAGAUGUUCUCUAAUGUCAACUAAGAUGGCUACCCGGCUUAGCCAUUUAGCUAACGGUGUAAUCGCAUCAAACUGAAUCAAACACCAUCACGCUCAAACCUAAUCUCAAAAUAUAAAAACAAACAAAUCAUAAUUUUUAGCCUCAAAAUGUGGCUCGAUAUGUCCAGACUCCGGCUUACAACACGUGACACCAUAUUGCUAUUAUAAACAAGCAAUACAAGCAAGAAACAUGUUGGCAGUAGUAAUUAGAAGUUUUGUCUAAGUUGUAUAUAUUUCAGCACUCCGAAACUAUGAGAUUUUGUUUCAUUAUUUUGUGUCUAACAUAUGAGAUAGACACUCAUUCUAGUCCUAUAAAUAUAGUUCCAAUCAUCUGGGAGAAAAGGGGCACCUUAUUGAGAAUAUUUACCUCCUUUAUAGAGAGGGAAAGAAAGUUACUUGUAUGAUAUUAUUCAUAAUCUUUUGUACUCAUUAUCAAUAAAAUUAUUCAUCAAUCACUUCGAUGUCUUUCAAGAAGACAUGGCCCUCUCAUGUUUCUACAGCUCGGCUCUAUUCCAAUUCUUGUAGUCUCAUUAGCAGCAAAAGCCAAAGAAAUUUUCAAGACGAGUGACCUGGUUUUCUCUAGCCGCCCGGCUAUGUUUGCUGCAAAUAAGUUAGGCCACAAGGGCUCAACUAUAACUUUUGCUCCCUAUGGAGAGUACUGGAGGAAAAUUAAGAAAUAGCACUUGUAGAGCUUUUGAGUGCAAAGAGAGUUCAAUCUUUUGAAGCUGUCCGGGAACAAGAAGUUGCUCUUAUGAUUAAAGCCGUCGCAGAAUCUUCUAAUCAGGUUAAUCUGAGUCCUGAUGCUUUUGCUAGCUACUAAUGUUAUUCUUAGAGUUGUAUUUAGUAUGAAGGGGAAUAGUUAUGGCAAAGAGAAAGUGAAGAGUGAGUCUGGGGAAAUUCUUCAUGAAACACAGGAUCUAUUAGGUAUGGUAAAUAUUGCCGAUUAUCUUCCAUGGAUGGGUUGGUAUAACAAGCUGAACAGUAUUGAGGCAAGAGGAGAAAAGAAUUCCAGGUGCUCUUAGACAUAAAAAAGAACAUGUAAAUAAAUGAUUGAAACGGAAAUGAUAUAAAAUAAAAUUACUCUGAACGUCAAGGCACUAGAAAUCUUAACCCUCUAUUCAAAAUCUAUCCAAGCGGGUUCAAAGAGUGCCCAAUUGUGUGUAAAUGUGUAAGAAUCUAGUUUGUUUCUGUUAUUACAGAAAACAUAAACGUUGCACAAUAUAGUAAUCCAAAAAUUGCGAUCAAAUGGGCUGGUUGUGUAGUAAACUUAUACUCCCUCCGUCCCGGUCAAUAGCAUACAUUGGGGGACGGGGGCGCGGCACGGACUUUAAUGUUUCAAUAUAAUAUAGUUCUGUAAAUUAUUUUUAAGAUUUUCUUUUUUUGUAUAAAAGUAUAACAUUUAUACUUUUAUACAAAAAAAGAAAAUUUCAAAAAUAAGUUGUAGAACUAUGUUUUAUAAGAGCCUUAAAAAACGUGUCGAGCAGUGAAAAAGAAACGUAUACAAUUAACUGGGACAGAGGGAGUAAACCUACCAAGUUGCAAUAGCUCGGUCGUCCGUGUUGCAUCACCAGAUUGUAGGCAGAUUGCCGAUGUGACUGUAAGUGGCCAACAACUAGCUACUCCCUCCGUCCCGGUCAAUAGCAUACAUUGGGGGACGGGGGCGCGGCACGGACUUUAAUGCUUCAAUAUAAUAUAGUUCUGUAAAUUAUUUUUAAGAUUUUCUUUUUUUGUAUAAAAGUAUAACAUUUAUACUUUUAUACAAAAAAAGAAAAUUUCAAAAAUAAGUUGUAGAACUAUGUUUUAUAAGAGCCUUAAAAAACGUGUCGAGCAGUGAAAAAGAAACGUAUACAAUUAACUGGGACAGAGGGAGUAUAAACUUUGUGCUUAUCUGACACCCAAUUAUUUUCGGUUUUGAAUAAUAGGCCGCAUGCUGUGAAUGAGUUAUCUUUUUUGGGUGAUUUCCAUUUAUGUUAACUGCCACGUUUUUUUUGGGUGAUUUCUACGUAUGUUAACUUUCAUGUUUUUGUUGUGUGACUUCCAUGCCGGAUUUGCAUUGUUAUCGAGAAUAUUAUACUCCCUCCAUUUCGAAAUGUAAGACGCUUUGACUUUUUGCACGUAGUUUAAAAUUCUUUGACCAUGUAUUUAUAUUUAUUAUUUUUAAAAUUUUAUUUUUUAAAACAAAAGUAUAUAGUCAAAAUUUUAAAGUAUAUUUUUUUUUUAAAAAUGAUGAUUCUAGAUGCUUGGUCAAACCACUUUGAAAUGUGUGUAAAAAGUCAAAGCUCUUGAAACGGAAGGAGUAAUGUAUAGGAGGAUGAGCUAUAAAACACAUUUUAAAAUUCUAAUAAAACAUAUUCCCUCCGACCUCCGUCCCCUUACAUGUCUAUAUUGAUUUUUGACCAGCCAAAUUGACUAUAUUUUGACUGAACUUUACAUAUAACAGAUAAUUGAAAAUAAUAAUAAAAUUAUAUCAUUAAAAAGUACAUCUAGUCUAUUUUAAUAUGCAACUUUUAGAUUUUAGAAAUAAUGAGCAGAUAAUUUCUACUGUUUAGUCAAAAAUUGGUUAAUUUAACUUCUCGAAAAGCAAAAUGGACAUGUAAAAGGGGACGGGGAGUACAUGAUUGGACACUCUAAGUGGUGAGUUUAUACUACAUUAUCUCGGAUACCGGGUUCGACCCGACAUAUAAGCCUAAAUUAUUAAAAAUAAAAUUCAAUUAAUAAAUUAUUUUAAUUUUUUAUUUUGGAUAAAAGCUCAAUAUCUAAAUUUUUAGAAAUAACGAGAAAUUUUUUAAAAAUUUGUGUACCUAUAUUUUAUAUAAAUCUUAAAAUAUCUAUUGAACAGUUAAAAAAAUGUAAAAGGAUUAUUGAGAACGAAUACAAUAUCCCCCCGUCCCGCCAAGAAGCUUACGUACACUGUUUGCACGCAUUUUGAGACUCUCGUAAAAUAUAGUUCUAUAAUGUAUUUUUGAUUUUUUUUUUUGAAUAAAAGUUUAAAUUUCAAACUUUUUUUAGUAAUUUUAAAAAAUAUAUAUAUAUAAUAUAAGUAUAUUUUAUAGGAGUCUUAAAAUGCGUAUAUUAAAAAAUAAGAACCUGGUGGGACAGAGAGAAUAUACAAGUAGUAUUCAACUAGAGAGAGAUAGAGAGAAAGUAAGAUAUCUAAACUUUCUUCUUCUCAUUCUUUCUGGCGUCAAAAGUAAUACUUAUUUUAAGUUAACGGGAUAAAUAUCAAAUCGGUUUUUCUAUGGUGUGCCCAUGGGCACAUACUAGACAAACCGAUAUCAAAUAGUAGCUAAACGCGGAAAAUUUUGUGCUUAGAUCAUUUUGAUUGGCUCCUCUCUCUUGAUAAUGGUGGACCCCCCUGCAAAUACACCAACCACACCAAUCAAAAUCUCCCAAAUACAAAAAUUUCCGCGCUUAGCAUGUGCCCAUGGGCACAUACUAGACAAACCGAUAUCAAAUAGUCACUCAUUUCGUCCAAAUGUAUCAAUUGAGUCAUUGAUUCUCAAAAUGACUCAAAUGAGACACUUAUUAGAAAAAUUUGUAUUAAAAAUAUCACUCUAUCUUUAGUCAGAAUUUUGAAAGUAUUAUCUAUUGAGUUUCGCACAUUUUUUAUGAAUGGUAUUACAUCCAAAUGAAAGAUCCCGAGUUGUACUAUUUUCGCUAAUAUUUUUAGAUUUUUAAAAAUUUAUCUCCUAUUUAUUUUUAUUUAAAUCAAAUAAAACAAUCAAAAAUUAAAAAUAAAUAGUUGAUAAAUUUUUUAAAAUCUGAAAAUAUUAGCAAAAAUAGUAGAACUCGGAAUCUUUCAUUUGGAUGUAAUACCGUUCAUAUAAAAUGUGCGAAACUCAAUAUAUAAUACUUUCAAAAUUUCUACUAACGUUAGAGUGAUAUUUUUGAUACAAAUUUUUCCAAUGAGUGUCUCAUUUGAGUCAAUUUGAGAAUCAGUUACUUAAUUGAUAUAUUUGGACGAAACGAGUGACCUUGAUAUUUAUCCCUUAAAUUAACUUAAACUGAAUAGGAGCAAGCAAAUCAAGCAUCUCAACCAAACCUCUUGUAGUCUGAAGCAAAACAAAUCAACAUGAAACAAAAUGAUAAAAGUAAUUAAAAUCGAAGACAAAUUGAAGCCUAAAUCGACUGAAUUCUAGUUAACAAAAAAUCCACGAAAGAAACCUGGUUUCGAUUGAAUCCCAAAAUGAUAGAAGAAUCUCCCACUUUCAAGAGCAACUCAAAUGAACAGAAAUUGAAUCGAAGUUUUAAGCCGAAAGCGAGCAGAGAGAACAUGAACAGACAAAAGAGAGCUUCAAUUCCCUUUUCUUUUAUAAAGAAAGAGGGAGUGAGGAGAGCAAAGCCAGAGCAUCUCUGAGCUGCCCAUGGCUAAUUAUAAUAUUUGCAUGUUUGGCUGAGUUUAAAAUAAGUGUUUGAAAAUAAAAAAAUAUGCUUUAAAGUAAAAAAGUGAAUAAUAAAUUAGAAGCAAAUUAAACCUUACAAGGGGUCGUUUGGUUGGGGAUUUUCUGGUAUCAGGUAUGAGUUUUUUUCAUUCCAAACUCAUAUCUGGUGUUUGGUUGAAAAUUUUCUUUUAUCAACCCCAUUCCUCAAACCCACAACGUAAGAGAUUUUCAUACCCAAGGGGAAGUGGGUAUGAAACAUGGAUUUCUGGAAUCAAAUUCCUUUUCUUUUAUUUCAUUACUAUUUAUAUCAUUUCAUAUAAAUUAUUAAUACAAAAUGAAAUUAAUGACUCAAAAAUGUAUAUAAAUAUUAAUUUAAUGAUAUUUUAAAUUAAUUACAACUAAUAACUAAUAAAUAUUAUAAUUCAAUCAUAUUUAUUCCACCACUCAACCAAACACCUGAUAUCAGAAAUGAUACCUCAAACCCAUACCAUCUUAACCCGAUUCCUCAUUCCAACCCCAUACCCCUCUCCAACCAAACGACCUCUAAACGAUUAAAGUGUUUGGAAAUCAGAAAAGAAGUAAAACGAAUAAAGGAAAAAUUAGCAUUCUCAAUUUUUUAUAAAUAUUUCGACGAAUAAGUGUUUGUAACUUAUAAACAGAGGCCAAACAUCCCUUAUAUAUUAUACCUAAGAGAUAUAAUAUUGAAAUAAAUAUAAAAAUGUUAUAAUAUAUCAUUAAAUAUCUUUAUUUAUAUGUUAUUUUGUUUUCUCUAAUAUAAAACAAAAUUAGCAAAUUUUGUUUAAUUUUAUAUUUAAAUAAAUAAAAAUUUAAAUAUGCAUGAUGAUUAUAGUUAUCACCAUUGCAUCAUUAAUAUUCAACAAAAUUAUAAGUCUUUAGCUAACAAUUCUAAGUGUCUCUCUUGUAUAUGCUCUUAGAGUGGAAAAAUUGACCCGUUUUAUCUAAAUAUACUUGCAUGCUUGUUCAAAUAAUUUAAAUACCCGCCUUCUAGUUUUUGGAUCCCGCAUCUCUUGUUUAACAAAUUGUUUAUUACAAAUUUCAUAAAAUAUUAUUUAUUAUUUAUGAAAAUAUUAAUUAUUUGUUUAUAUAUACAAUAUCAUCCAAUUUAUUUAUUUAUUUAUUUAUUUUUCAUUUAAAAUAAAAAUAUUUAUAAUUACAUUAUAUUUUUAUAAAAAAUAUUUUCUCUUUUACAUUUAUUAAAAUUAUUUAUUUUUAAUUUUGAAAUUUUCAAAACAAAGAAAUACUUGCAGUCAUACACAUGAUUCAUUAUACUCGUAAAAUGUUUUUAAAAUAUAAUAUAUUAUUAUAUUUCAACAUAAAAAAUUAAAUUUAAAGAUUUAUAUUUUUUCAGAGUAUCGGUAAUUUUUAUAUAUUUUUUAAAAUGAUUAAGUCUAUUAUUAUGCUUUGGGGUGCUGUCUAAUGCAAUACUUUAAAUCUUGCAAACAUGUGUAAUGCGACAGCGCACUCGGUCUAAUUAUAACGUUUGGCAGCCGACCCUCGAUCAAGACCUGAUAUUUUAAUUGCACGAGAUCCACGCAGUGUCCCCAUGCGUUACCGUAUGUUUUCCUGUAUAAAUGAAGAGCAAAACUCUUGACACUGACGAGACAAAACACGCGCACACAAUGAUUUUCUCAAAUCUCUUAAUAGCCUUUCUUAUCAUUGCCAUGCCACUGUUAAUUAUUCUUAUCACAAACAAAAAACAUCAACAUAACAGACUGCCUCCGGGGCCUAAGAAGCUGCCACUCAUUGGCAAUCUUCAUCAGCUUGGUGGACUUGCUCCUCAUCGAUCACUUCGACUUCUUUCAAGAGAACAUGGCCCCCUCAUGUUUCUACAGCUCGGCUCUGUUCCAACUCUUGUGGUCUCAUCAGCCGCGAUGGCCAGAGAAAUUUUCAAGACCCAUGACUCGGUUUUUUCUGGCCGGCCUGCCCUCUAUGCCGCGAAAAAGAUGGGUUACAAGUGCUCAACUAUUUCUUUUGCUCCCUAUGGAGACUACUGGAGGCAAGUACGAAAGAUUGCACUUGUAGAGCUAUUAAGUGCAAAGAGAGUUCAGUCUUUUAAAGCUCUUCGAGAACAAGAAGUGGCCAGUAUGAUUAAAUCAGUCGCGGAUUCUUCACCUAAUCCUAUUAAUUUGAGCGAGCUGACGCUUUUGCAAGCGACUAAUUUUGUGCUCAGGGUGGUAUUUCGUAUGAAGGGAAGUGAUUAUGGUGAAAACAACGCUAAGAGUGAGUUUGAUGAAAUAUUUCAUGAAACGCAACAUUUAUUAGGCAUGGUGAAUAUUGCAGAUUAUUUUCCCUGGAUGGGUUGGUUUAACAAGUUUAACGGUGUUGAUGCAAGAUUGGACAAGAAUUUAAGAGAUUUGGACAGGUUUUAUGACAGGG
rnacentral:lncRNA from 1 species